rnacentral:rRNA from 8 species
GGUUAAGCGACUAAGCGUACACGGUGGAUGCCCUGGCAGUCAGAGGCGAUGAAGGACGUGCUAAUCUGCGAUAAGCGCCGGUAAGGUGAUAUGAACCGUUAUAACCG